rnacentral:rRNA from 14 species
AGGUGGGGACGACGUCAAGUCAUCAUGGCCCUUACGUCCAGGGCUACACACGUGCUACAAUGGCGGUGACAGUGAGUUAAUCUCCAAAAACCGUCUCAGUUCGAAUUGGGGUCUGCAACUCGACCCCAUGAAGUCGGAAUCGCUAGUAAUCGCGAAUCAGAAUGUCGCGGUGAAUACGUUCCCGGGUCUUGUACACACCGCCCGUCACACCAUGGAAGUUUGUUGCACCAGAAGUAGGUAGCUUAACCCUCGGGAGGGCGCUUACCACGGUGUGGUCAAUGACUGGGGUGAAGUCGAAACAAGGUAGCCGUAGGGGAACCUGCGGCUGGAUCACCUCCUU